GACAGAGGGUGCAAACGUUGUUCGGAAUGACUGGGCGUAAAGCGCGUGUAGGCGGCCUCGCAAGUCGGGUGUGAAAGCCCUGGGCUCAACCCAGGAAGUGCACUCGAAACUGCAAGGCUUGAGUCCCGGAGAGGAAAGCGGAAUUCUCGGUGUAGAGGUGAAAUUCGUAGAUAUCGAGAGGAACACCGGUGGCGAAGGCGGCUUACUGGUCCGGUUCUGACGCUGAGGCGCGAAAGCGUGGGGAGCAAACAGG
rnacentral:rRNA from 1 species